rnacentral:sRNA from 1 species
AAAAGUCGGGCAAACUGUUUUGGAGGAAGUAAACAGUGAAGUGGAACAGCGAUAAAGGUACAUGUAGCUGAAUAAAGUAUGGAUUGGUUUGAAAUGGGGAACACAUGUUUCUUCGGAUAAAAUGAGACCCAACCUUUGUGUAUCAGGACCAGUUAUAAAGACUAUAUGUUGAACACCUACAUGUAUACCAGACGUGGAAUAUUCAUGAGAUACUGACUGGAUGUGUUGGAAGGAUUUAUUGGCAACAACUUUCGUGAAAACAUAUCAGCGCGUCAGGGUGGAUAUUUUUCGAGGAAUUUCAUUAGGAAGACAAUAUAAGUUUAUAUAGGCAUCUAGCGUUAGAAACCUUACUCUAUACGCUAUAUAUUUUCCCGAGUGUCGCAAAAAAGUACGAUUGUGAAAGCUUAGCGUGUAGGUCUUUAAAUCCUCCCAGGAACCAAUGUACCCGAAAUGCCAGAAAUUACAUAAAGGCUUCCUAGUUAAAUUUUGAUUAAUAAUGCGAUCAUCCCUCCGAAUUAUAGUUAAACAGAAUAUGUAGCUUUUUAGCGAUUAAAGAAAAUAAAUAAAUGCUACAUUUAUUCAAAUUAUAGUUAAAACAUUCCAAAACAAUGUUUGAUAAGACGACCAGUGUAGAUAAGUUGACUGUCCGCAUUGUGUGGGACCGCAUGAAAGAAUUGCAGCACAGUCAUUUUUUGUUUAUUUUUAAUGUUUCGACUUUGUGAAGAUGUCGUCUUGUGUUGGGGGAAAUUUACCCCCAAAGAAUUGCAACACACACACACACACACACACACACACACACACACACACACACACACACACAUUUUUUAGUUUAUUAUAAAGUCUUAAAAGUAAAAAUGUCGUCUUGUAUUGGGGGAAAUUUACCCCCAAAGAUAUUGCAACACAAUCAUUCUUUGUUUUUUUUAUCGCUUCGACUUUCUAAAGAUGUCGUCUUGUGUUGGAGGAAAUUAACUCCAAAGAAUUGUAACACAGAAACUUUUUUAAGGCUUUGACUUUGUAAAGAUGCGGUUUUGUGUUGGAGGAAAUUUACUCCAAAAAAUUGUAACACAGAAAAUUUUUUUAAGGCUUUGACUUUGUAAAGAUGCGUCUUGUGUUAGAGGAAAUUUAUUCCAAAGAUUUGUAACACGGACAUUUUUUUUAAGGCUCUGACAUUGCAAAGAUGCGGUCUUGUGUUGGAGGAAAUUUACUCCAAAGAAUUGAAACACUGUAAUUUUUAGGGUUUUAAUUUACGGCUUUGACUUUGUAAAGAUACGGUCUUGUGUUGGAGGAAAUUUACUCAAAAGAAUUGUAAUGCAUACAUUUUUUUGUAAGGCUUUGUCUCUGUAAAGAAGCGUCUUGUGUUGGAGGAAAUUUACUCCAAAGAAUUGUAACGCAUACAUUUUUUUUGUAAGGCUUUGUCCUUGUAAAGAUGCGUCUUGUGUUGGAGGAAAUUUAAUCCAAGGAAUUGUAACACAGUCAUUUUUUUGUUUAUCAUUAAGUCUUCAAAUUUGUAAAGUUGAUGUCUUGUGUUGGAGGAAAUUAACCCCAAUGAAUUUCAAUACAGUUAUUUUCUGUUUAUUUUUAAAGCUUUGAGAUCAUAUAGAUGUCGUUUUGUGUUGUGGGAAAUUUACCUCAAAGAAUUACAACACAAUCAUUUUGUGUAUAUUCAUAUCGCUACGAUCCGAAUUUAUAUAGAUGUCCUCUUGUGUUGGAGGAAAUUUACCCCAAAGAUAUUGCAACACAGUCAAUUUCUGUAUUUCUUUAUCCCGUCGACUUUGUAUUGAUGUGGUUUUGUGCUGGGGAAGAUUUACCCCAAAGAAUUGCAACAGAUAUGCAUACCUGUAUAGAUUUUGAGGUUGAAAAUUUGUAAAGACGAUGUUUCAUCUUGGGGGUAAAUUUACCCGAACAGUGUAACAUAUAAUCCAUUGUCUCAGAUUAAUCGCUUGCAUAAAAUGCAUUGUAUUUGGGGGUAAAUUUACUCUGAAAAAAAAAACGAUUCGAUUUUUUUCUUGAAAAUAACAAUUUUUUGUAAAUAGAAUUUUAGUAUAUUCUGCAUAAUUUUUUGGAUAUGUCACAGCUUCACUUUCACAAGUAACUGUUUUUGCAUUUGUCUUUUACUUGUUUAUUCUCCUAACACCCCUAGGCCUCUUAAAAAUUCUUAAUUCCAUAUAUACAGAGAAGCUUGGUUAGUUUUUGGGGGUAAAUUUCUAUUCUGAAGAGUUUCUUGAUUUCUUGUUACGUGUUAUGCUGUGUUAUGCGGAAAAUAAAGCUUAAACUGUC